UAAAAGUGUAUAUAAGAAUAUACGAUAUUACAAACAAUAGAAGUGUUUUAUUAACAAAUAGCAAUCACCACAAUUGGCGACGAGGACUAAUUAAGAAAAUUACCAAUUUCAUUAAACAAGAUGAGAAAUACCUGUUCUAAAG
rnacentral:misc_RNA from 1 species